UACGGAGGAUGCAAGCGUUAUCCGGAAUGAUUGGGCGUAAAGCGUCCGCAGGUGGCAAUGUAAGUCUGCUGUCAAAGCGUCUGGCUCAACCAGAUAAAGGCAGUGGAAACUACAUAGCUAGAGUAAGGUAGGGGUAGAGGGAAUUCCUGGUGUAGCGGUGAAAUGCGCAGAUAUCAGGAGGAACACCGGUGGCGAAGGCGGAUCUCUGGGCCUUACCUGACGCUCAGGUGCGAAAGCUAGGGGAGCGAACAGG
rnacentral:rRNA from 1 species